UACGUAGGGGGCAAGCGUUGUCCGGAUUUAUUGGGCGUAAAGAGCGUGUAGGCGGUUUGGUAGGUCCGCUGUGAAAACUCGAGGCUCAACCUCGAGACGCCGGUGGAAACCAUCAGGCUAGAGUCCGGAAGAGGAGAGUGGAAUUCCUGGUGUAGCGGUGAAAUGCGCAGAUAUCAGGAGGAACACCAAUUGCGAAGGCAGCUCGCUGGGACGUUACUGACGCUGAGACGCGAAAGCGUGGGGAGCAAACAGG
rnacentral:rRNA from 1 species